rnacentral:rRNA from 1 species
AUUGAACGCUGGCGGCAGGCCUAACACAUGCAAGUCGAGCGGUAGAGAGAAGCUUGCUUCUCUUGAGAGCGGCGGACGGGUGAAUAAUGCCUAGGAAUCUGCCUGGUAGUGGGGGAUAACGUUCGGAAACGGACGCUAAUACCGCAUACGUCCUACGGGAGAAAGCAGGGGACCUUCGGGCCUUGCGCUAUCAGAUGAGC